rnacentral:rRNA from 1 species
UACAGAGGUGGCAAGCGUUGUUCGGAAUUACUGGGCGUAAAGGGCGCGUAGGCGGUUCGCUAAGUCCCGCGUGAAAUCCCCCGGCUCAACCGGGGAACUGCGCGGGAAACUGGCGGGCUUGAGUUCGGGAGAGGGAAGCGGAAUUCCGGGUGUAGCGGUGAAAUGCGUAGAUAUCCGGAGGAACACCGGUGGCGAAGGCGGCGUCCUGGACCGACACUGACGCUGAGGCGCGAAAGCUAGGGGAGCAAACGGG